UACAGAGGGUGCAAGCGUUGUUCGGAUUUACUGGGCGUAAAGCGUGCGUAGGCGGUAUUGAGAGUCGCGGGUGAAAUCCCAGGGCUUAACCCUGGAACUGCCUGCGAGACCUCAGUACUAGAGUGUGAGAGGGGAUGGUGGAAUACCAAGUGUAGCGGUGAAAUGCGUAGAGAUUUGGUGGAACACCGGUGGCGAAGGCGACCAUCUGGCUCACAACUGACGCUCAGGCACGAAAGCGUGGGUAGCAAACAGG
rnacentral:rRNA from 1 species